rnacentral:rRNA from 1 species
UACGUAGGGUGCGAGCGUUGUCCGGAAUUAUUGGGCGUAAAGGGCUCGUAGGCGGUUUGUCGCGUCGGGGAGUGAAAACCCAGGGCUUAACCCUGGGCUGGCUUUCGAUACGGGCAGACUAGAGAUAUGCAGGGGAGAACGGAAUUCCUGGUGUAGCGGUGAAAUGCGCAGAUAUCAGGAGGAACACCGGUGGCGAAGGCGGGUCUCUGGGCAACAACUGACGCUGAGGAGCGAAAGCGUGGGGAGCGAACAGG